CACACACAGUAUCAGUAUGAGUAGCUGCCCUCCCUGCUCCAGCCAUGGAGGAAAUCUUGGCUGCAAGGGCUUCUGCUUUGGCCUCUGGUUGGGGACUGGUUUUAUCCAGAGAAUAUGGGGACUUAGAGGGGAAGAAGGGAGGACUGAGCAGGCACCGCUAAUGCCAAGUUCAGAGCUCCAACGAACCUGUCCUUGAACAAAAGAAAACACAUGAUGUCUACCCACAAGCAAAGCCAACCAGCUCCAUCUGACAGUGUAUAGAUCACAUUCUGCAUCCAUAGCCCCCCACCUCUACUCAAGGAAGGAAGGAAGGCUGCUUUGUUCACUCGGGAGGGCAGUGAGCUAUUCCACCCAGGCCAUACCCAAGGACAGAAGAUACAAUGGGAAGGCCACUAGCUUUGGAAUCAAAAGACCUGAGUUCAAAUUUUGUCUCUAUCUGUGUGAUUUCGGGCAAGUCAGUAAACUUCUUGGGUUCUCAUUUCCUCAUCUAUAAAAUGAAGGGAUUGGUCACCAAGUCCUCUAAGGUUCUUUCCAGCUCCAUGACCCUAUCCUAUGUCCUCCCACUUAGAGCUUAAGAGGCUUCUGGUUUCCCUAGGAGGCUGGCACUACGGUGCCAAUUCCAUGAACAAUGGGGCAGUCAGAGGACACAAAGGCUUACCCCCCACUAAGAAACCUCACUCUUCACCCAGGAAUCAGCCUCUGUGACACCCCCAAGGACCAUCAGCUCUGGUUCUCCCACUGGGUCAGGCCGAGGUUCUCUUAUCACGUCUCACCCUGAUGGUUCCCAGCUGUUGAGGAUUUCCUCCCAAGCUCCUGGGGAUUUCCAAACUCCCUCUGCACCCACAGACUAGAGCAGGGCCCAGAGCCAGGAAACGGUGGGUUCCAGCCAGCCUUCAAGAUCUUUUCCCAAAAGCUAACACCACUUACCCAAACUCCUCCUCUUUGCGUCCCAUCCCCUCUUCCACAUCUCACCAAAACAACCAGCCAAUUUCCAGCCCAGAAAAUCUCCUGAGAGUCAUCCCGCCCCUUCCCAUUCCCAUUCCACUCCACCAUUGACUCAGACAAAUAAAAUGGUCCAUUGUUUGGGUUGA